rnacentral:misc_RNA from 1 species
GGAGGUAAAAGUCGUAACAAGGUCUCCGUUGGUGAACCAGCGGAGGGAUCAUUACAGGACUCGCAAGACUCCUUCACCCUGUGAACCUCACUACAAGCACGUUGCUUCGGCGGGUGUCCCGGCGGGGGUUUUCCCUCGCCGGGGCGCACAGCCCGCCGGCAGCCUACUAUACUCUGUCUCUUUGCGUUGGCAUCUCGAGAAAAAACAAACAAGUUAAAACUUUCAACAACGGAUCUCUUGGUUCUG